UGUCUGGAUAGCUUAGUGAUCAGAGCAUCUGCCUAAUAAGCAGGACACCUGGGUUCGAAUCCCAGUCCAGCAG